AACGUAGGACGCAAGCGUUAUCCGGAAUUACUGGGCGUAAAGCGCGUGUAGGCGGGUUGUUAAGUUCGGCGUGAAAGCUCCCGGCUAAACUGGGAGAGGUCGUCGGAUACUGGCAGUCUGGAGUAAGGUAGAGGGAUGUGGAAUUCCGGGUGUAGUGGUGAAAUGCGUAGAGAUCCGGAGGAACACCAGUGGCGAAGGCGGCAUCCUGGACCGUAACUGACGCUGAGACGCUAAAGCAUGGGUAGCGAACGGG
rnacentral:rRNA from 1 species